UACGUAGGUGGCAAGCGUUGUCCGGAAUUACUGGGCGUAAAGAGCGCGCAGGCGGCUGGUCAAGUCCGAUGUGAAAGCUUCCGGCUUAACUGGGAAAUUGCAUCGGAAACUGAUCGGCUUGAAGGUGGGAGAGGGUAGUGGAAUUCCCGGUGUAGUGGUGAAAUGCGUAGAUAUCGGGAGGAACACCAGUGGCGAAGGCGACUACCUGGCCCACUCUUGACGCUGAGGCGCGAAAGCUAGGGGAGCGAACGGG
rnacentral:rRNA from 1 species